UGAGGAAUAUUGGUCAAUGGGCGCAAGCCUGAACCAGCCAUCCCGCGUGCAGGAAGACGGCGUUAUGCGUUGUAAACUGCUUUUCCAGGGAGAGAAACUUGCGCACGUGUUGCGCAAUUGACGGUACCCUGGGAAUAAGCAUCGGCUAACUCCGUGCCAGCAGCCGCGGUAAUACGGAGGAUGCGAGCGUUAUCCGGAUUCAUUGGGUUUAAAGGGUGCGUAGGCGGACUAUUAAGUCAGUGGUGAAAUCCUGCAGCUUAACUGCAGAACUGCCAUUGAUACUGAUAGCCUUGAGUUUGGUUAAGGUAGGCGGAAUGUGUAAUGUAGCGGUGAAAUGCUUAGAUAUUACACAGAACACCAAUUGCGUAGGCAGCUUACUGAGCCGACACUGACGCUGAGGCACGAAAGCGUGGGGAUCGAAC
rnacentral:rRNA from 1 species